rnacentral:rRNA from 1 species
CUGAAACUGCAGCCCUACGUCCAGCAAUCUGUCGUCAGUCGACCCUACGCCAAACUUGCCUACAAGUUCUUCGGGCCCUACACUGUCAUCAAGCGAAUCGGGCUCAUGGCGUACAAGCUCGACCUGCCGGAAUCCAGUCGCGUGCACCCGGUCUUCCACGUCUCGCAGUUGAAGCCGUUCACGCAGGAUUACACGCCAGUGUACGCCGAAUUUCCACGGGUGCCUGAUCUAUCCGUGGCGACCACGGCACCCACGCGCAUCCUGGAGCGACGCAUGAUGAAGAAGGGCGAUGCCCCAGUCGUCCAGAUCAGGGUGCAAGGGGGGACUAGCACUACUUCAGCCAUGACAUGGGAGGACUACGACACCUUACGGCAACGCUUUCCAACGGCUCUCAUUUGGGAAGAUGAAGACGACAGCACUGAAGACGGAGCUCGAUCUCAAGGGGAGGAGAAUGUCACACCUGGCCACUUGUCCGCCACUUGUCCAGUGUGA